rnacentral:rRNA from 1 species
CCUACGGGAGGCAGCAGUAGGGAAUCUUCCACAAUGGGCGAAAGCCUGAUGGAGCAACGCCGCGUGGGUGAAGAAGGUCUUCGGAUCGUAAAACCCUGUUGUUAGAGAAGAAAGUGCGUGAGAGUAACUGUUCACGUUUCGACGGUAUCUAACCAGAAAGCCACGGCUAACGACGUGCCAGCAGCGGCGGUAAUACGUAGGUGGGAAGCGUUAUCCGGAUUUAUUGGGGGUAAAGGGAACGAAGGCGGUCUUUUAAGUCCGAUGUGAAAGCGUUCGGCUUAACCGGAGUAGUGCAUUGGAAACUGGGAGACUUGAGUGCAGAAGAGGAGAGUGGAACUCCAUGUGUAGCGGUGAAAUGCGUAGAUAUAAGGAAGAACACCAGUGGCGAAGGCGGCUCACUGGUCUGUAACUGACGCUGAGGUUCGAAAGCGUGGGUAGCAAACAGGAUUAGAUACCCGGGUAGUC